AUUGAACGCUGGCGGCAUGCUUUACACAUGCAAGUCGAACAGUAACAGGCCGCAAGGUGCUGACGAGUGGCGAACGGGUGAGUAAUGCAUCGGAACGUGCCCAGUCGUGGGGGAUAACUACUCGAAAGAGUAGCUAAUACCGCAUACGAUCUAUGGAUGAAAGCGGGGGACCGUAAGGCCUCGCGCGAUUGGAGCGGCCGAUGUCAGAUUAGGUAGUUGGUGGGGUAAAGGCUCACCAAGCCAACGAUCUGUAGCUGGUCUGAGAGGACGACCAGCCACACUGGGAAUGAGACACGGCCCAGACUCCUACGGGAGGCAGCAGUGGGGAAUUUUGGACAAUGGGCGCAAGCCUGAUCCAGCAAUGCCGCGUGCAGGAAGAAGGCCUUCGGGUUGUAAACUGCUUUUGUACGGAACGAAACGGCUCUGGUUAAUACCCGGGGCUAAUGACGGUACCGUAAGAAUAAGCACCGGCUAACUACGUG
rnacentral:rRNA from 1 species